GACGAACGCUGGCGGCGUGCUUAACACAUGCAAGUCGAACGAAGUGGCGAACGGGUGAGUAACGCGUAAUCAACCUGCCCUUCAGAGGGGGACAACAGUUGGAAACGACUGCUAAUACCGCAUACUGAAGGAGGGGAUUGCGUCGGAUUAGCUAGUUGGAGGGGUAACGGCCCACUAAGGCGAUGAUCAGUAGCCGGUCUGGGAGGGUGAACGGCCAAAUGGGGACGGGAGCACGGCCCAGACUCCGACGGGAGGCAACAGGGGGGAAUUGUCCGCAAUGGACGAAAGUCUGACGGAGCAACGCCGCGUGAGUGAUGACGGCCUUCGGGUUGUAAAGCUCUUUUAAUCGGGACGCGGUACCGGAAUAGAAAGCCACGGCUAACUACGUGCCAGCAGCCGCGGUAAUAC
rnacentral:rRNA from 1 species